GCCGGCGUGGCGGAACAGGUAGACGCACAGGACUUAAAAUCCUGCGGGACUCAACAUCCCGUACCAGUUCGAUUCUGGUCGCCGGCA
rnacentral:tRNA from 1 species